rnacentral:sRNA from 1 species
CAAGAUCAUCCAAUGCAACCCUUGUGUACAGAUGACGUGUUUAGGGGGUGUGGGGAAAGGAAGUCAGUAAAACUCUGCUUUUUGGUAAAAACAUCUCUUUUCUAUUCCCAGGAAUGCUUCCGGAUCCCAAGAACACUCACAUCGUCAUCAGCUGGAUGAUCGCACAGACUGUCACUGCUGUUGCUGGGUUGACUUCCUAUCCAUUUGACACCGUUCGCCGCCGCAUGAUGAUGCAGUCAGGGCGCAAAGGAACUGACAUCAUGUACACAGGCACGCUUGACUGCUGGAGGAAGAUUGCUCGUGAUGAAGGAGGCAAAGCUUUUUUCAAGGGUGCAUGGUCCAAUGUUCUCAGAGGCAUGGGUGGUGCUUUUGUGCUCGUCUUGUAUGAUGAAAUCAAGAAGUACACAUAAGUUAUUUCCUAGGAUUUUUCCCC